CCUACGGGAGGCAGCAGUGGGGAAUAUUGGACAAUGGGCGCAAGCCUGAUCCAGCCAUGCCGCGUGAGUGACGAAGGCCUUAGGGUUGUAAAGCUCUUUUGGCGGGGAAGAUAAUGACGGUACCCGCAGAAUAAGCUCCGGCUAACUUCGUGCCAGCAGCCGCGGUAAUACGAAGGGAGCUAGCGUUGUUCGGAAUCACUGGGCGUAAAGCGCACGUAGGCGGAUGUGUCAGUCAGGGGUGAAAUCCCGGAGCUCAACUUCGGAACUGCCCUUGAUACAGCAGGUCUCGAGUCCGAGAGAGGUGAGUGAAAUUCCUAGUGUAGAGGUGAAAUUCGUAGAUAUUAGGAAGACCACCGGUGGCGAAGGCGGCUCACGGGCUCGGUACUGAUGCUGAGGUGCGAAAGCGUGGGGAGCAAACAGGAUUAGAUCCCCUGGUAGU
rnacentral:rRNA from 1 species